GGCGGACCAUAGCUCAGUGGCUGGAGCAUCUACUUGGGUUGUAGAAUGCCCCAGGUUCAAUUCCUGCCAUCGCCA